AUACGGAGGAUCCGAGCGUUAUCCGGAUUUAUUGGGUUUAAAGGGUGCGCAGGCGGCCAUUUAAGUCAGCGGUUAAAUCGUGGGGCUCAACCCCAUUCUGCCGUUGAUACUGGGUGGCUUGAUUGCGGUCGAGGUUGGCGGAAUUCGUUGUGUAGCGGUGAAAUGCAUAGAUAUGACGAAGAACACCGAUUGCGUAGGCAGCUGACCAGACCGCAAAUGACGCUCAUGCACGAAAGUGCGGGGAUCGAACAGGAUUAGAUACCCUGGUGGUCCGCACAGUAAACGAUGAAUACUUGUUUUCGGCGAUAUAAUGUCGGAGGCAAAGCGAAAGCGUUAAGUGAUCCACCUGGGGAGUACGCCGGCAACGGUGAAACUCAAAUGAAUUGACGGGG
rnacentral:rRNA from 1 species